CACCCCCAAAUCAGCAGCCCCAACCGUGUUUCUCUCUCUCGACUCUCUCUCACUAUUGGAUCGUCAGACCACAGCAGCGCAGCAACCGGCGACCUUUUGUCUAUCUCUCUCUCUCGCUCUCGGUCGAACCAGCAGAGGAACUAGCGGCGGAGCAGAUCGGCGGUGGUGGGCGGCUCCUCCCCUCCUUCUCGUCUUUCCCUCUCCUCACCUAACAGUACGUACGGCAGCAGUUAUGGACAGCGGAGAUGGCAGCGACAGCGGAGCCCAGCAGCGACAGAUCUAGCGUCCUCUCCCCUAUUUCCGACGGUGGCUGACGGCGGCAAGCGGCGGCGCGACUGGAGCAAUCUCGGUGGUCUUCUCUCUCUCUGGCAGGGUGGCGUGAGCUUAGAACCGUGAGGACUCUGGAAUAGGUGGCUUGUUUUGAGAGCACGACAUAGAGUUCAUACGCCUUGUAAUUGAAUUUGGUAUAGACCUUCUGGUUUUAGAAAUUGAAUUAUAGAAGUGUAGUUUAGUUGUAUAUUAGAAUUGAGAAAUUGAGUUGUAAGGAUUGUGGAAUAGUUUAUAUGGUUGUUUAAUGUUGUGGAUUUGUAGUUGAAUAGAACCCUGUUAGCCUGUGCGUUUGGGCUUGGUUGAUAGCCCAAGCGUGGCGUGACACCCCAUAGUUUAAGUUUUGAAUUUGCUUCCGCAUUUAUUUUCA